rnacentral:misc_RNA from 1 species
GGAUUGUCCUGGUAUCAAGAAGGGUACUUUUAUCUUUGCUCUUUUCUUUCCAUUUUUCUAUUUAAGGUGUUGUUUUUUGGUGAGGUUUUGUUGGUUUUUUGAGAUUAUGAGAUGAAGUGGACGCUUUAAUGUUGUUUUAUUCAAUGAUAUCAACUAUCCUUAACUUCCGUGGUUCUUUAUUUGGGAUUUAGAAAGUGUUGUUAAUACUAUUCCAAUCCAGAUUGCCAAUGUUGCCAAUGUGAUAUAGAAUAAGCUUCUCAGUUCCUACUAUUUUUAUAAUGAAAGUUUCUAAGGUGAUGUGUGAGUUCUGGAAGUUACUUGCUAAGCCUUUCUGAAAAAUUAUGAUAUUAAAUGGCCAAAUGGCAUGGUUCAAGGUAUAGCUUCCUUUGGACUGACUUUAUUGGAGUGUCUUUUGGAUUGAAUUUCAAUAAAUCUAACAUGGUCGUCAUGCUUUUCCAUGCUUUACGUGUGCAACAUUAGUUUACGUGCGUAACAUUAGUUUUGUGUACACCAUUGAGUCUGUCACCAUCUGCAAAAAAUCCAGAAUUGAUUAUUAUGUAUAUUGAUAUUUUUCUUCUAGUUUAUGAAAGAAAGUUUCUCGAGAAUGAUUAAAUGCCAUCAUUGAUAUUGCUUUUAUCACAUAGACAUGCAAAAAAUGAGAUUUGAG